UACGGAGGGUGCAAGCGUUAUCCGGAUUCACUGGGUUUAAAGCGCGUGUAGGCGGGUCUUUAAGUCAGGGGUGAAAUGCCAAGGCUCAACCUUGGAACUGCCUUUGAUACUGAGGAUCUUGAGUUCGGGAGAGGUGAGUGGAACUGCGAGUGUAGAGGUGAAAUUCGUAGAUAUUCGCAAGAACACCAGUGGCGAAGGCGGCUCACUGGCCCGAUACUGACGCUGAGGCACGAAAGCGUGGGGAGCAAACAGG
rnacentral:rRNA from 1 species